CCAGGCGGUCUACCCCCCAGGUGUACUCCAGGCGGUCUACCCCCCCAGGUGUACUCCAGGCGGUCUACCCCCCCAGGUGUACUCCAGGCGGUCUACCCCCCCAGGUGUACUCCAGGCGGUCUACUUGUGCUCCUUGGUGGGGGCGAAGUACAGCUCCAUGGGUUUGUUCACCUUCCAGUACUUCUCACUGACAAGCUCCAGAGAGAAAGACCCGUUCAGCACC